AUUCAGCUGACGAGUCUCAAAUGGGACGUAACGCGUGUCCUGGAU
rfam:Schistosoma rodhaini strain Burundi genome assembly, scaffold: SROB_scaffold0004133